rnacentral:rRNA from 1 species
GACGAACGCUGGCGGCGUGCCUAAUACAUGCAAGUCGUACGAAUUGAUUAAGGAGCUUGCUCCUUAUGACGUUAGUGGCGAACGGGUGAGUAACACGUGGGUAACCUACCUUCAAGAGGGGGAUAACAUCCGGAAACGGGUGCUAAUACCGCAUAGUUUCAGCUUCCGCAUGGAAGCCGAAGGAAAGACGGCCUUUGUGCUGUCACUUGGAGAUGGACCCGCGGCGCAUUAGUUAGUUGGUAGGGUAACGGCCUACCAAGACGAUGAUGCGUAGCCGACCUGAGAGGGUGAUCGGCCACAUUGGGACUGAGACACGGCCCAA